GCGGUACGGUAAAACUGCGGUACA
rnacentral:siRNA from 1 species